GACAGAGGGUGCAAACGUUGUUCGGAAUUACUGGGCGUAAAGGGCUCGUAGGCGGCCAACUAAGUCGGAUGUGAAAUCCCCAGGCUCAACCUGGGAACUGCGUCUGAUACUGGAUGGCUUGAAUCCGGGAGAGGGAUGCAGAAUUCCAGGUGUAGCGGUGAAAUGCGUAGAUAUACGGAGGAAUACCUGAGGCGAAGGCGGGUUGCUGGGCCAACACUGACGCUGAGGCGCGAAAGCCAGGGGAGCAAACGGG
rnacentral:rRNA from 1 species